rnacentral:rRNA from 1 species
AUAACUUUCAACAAUGGAUCUCUUGGCUCUCGCAUCGAUGAAGAACGCAGCGAAAUGCGAUAAGUAACAAAUGUGAAUUUGCAGAACUCAGUGAAUCAUCGAACAGCUCUUUGAACGCACCUUGCGCUCCUUGGUAUUCCGAGGAGCAUGCCUGUUUGAGUGUCGUUAAGUUGUCGAAAC